UUGCUUCAGCAGCAUAUAUAGAAAAAUAGGAACAAUGCAGACAGGAUUAACAUGGCCCCUGUGCAAGGA
ensembl:snRNA U6 U6 spliceosomal RNA